GAUGAACGCUGGCGGUAUGCUUAACACAUGCAAGUCGAACGGAACCCUUCGGGGUUUAGUGGCGGACGGGUGAGUAACGCGUGAGAAUCUGGCUUCCGGUUCGGGACAACCAUUGGAAACGGUGGCUAAUACCGAAUGUGCCUUUCGGGGUGAAAGAUUAAUUGCCGGAAGAUGAGCUCGCGUCUGAUUAGCUAGUUGGUAGAGUAAAAGCCUACCAAGGCGACGAUCAGUAACUGGUCUGAGAGGAUGACCAGUCACACUGGAACUGAGACACGGUCCAGACUCCUACGGGAGGCAGCAGUGGGGAAUUUUCCGCAAUGGGCGAAAGCCUGACGGAGCAAUACCGCGUGAGGGAGGAAGGCUCUUGGGUCGUAAACCUCUUUUCUCAGGGAAGAACACAAUGACGGUACCUGAGGAAUCAGCCUCGGCUAACUCCGUGCCAGCAGCCGCGGUAAGACGGAGGAGGCAAGCGUUAUCCGGAAUAAUUGGGCGUAAAGCGUCCGUGGGUGGCCAUUCAAGUCGGCUGUCAAAGCCAGUUGCUCAACAACUGAAAGGCAGUGGAAACUGAAUCGCUAGAGAACAGUAGGGGCAGAGGGAAUUCCCAGAGUAGCGGUGAAAUGCGUAGAGAUUGGGAAGAACACCAACGGCGAAAGCACUCUGCUGGGCUGGUUCUGACACUCAGGGACGAAAGCUAGGGGAGCGAAUGGGAUUAGAUACCCCAGUAGUCCUAGCCGUAAACGAUGGAUACUCGAUGUGGCUCCUAUCGACCGGAGCCGUGUCUAAGCCAACGCGU
rnacentral:rRNA from 1 species